AUCGUGUCGCCGGCAGGGAGGCAUAGCGCCUCUCUGAUCUUCCUGCAUGGCUCAGGUGAUUCUGGACAAGGAUUAAGAAUGUGGAUCAAGCAGGUUUUAAAUCAAGAUUUAACAUUCCAACACAUAAAAAUUAUUUAUCCAACAGCUCCUCCCAGUAUGUUUUUGCUUUUAGGAGGAUUCUCUAUGGGAGGAUGCAUGGCAAUGCAUUUAGCAUAUAGAAAUCAUCAAGAUGUGGCAGGAGUAUUUGCUCUUUCUAGUUUUCUGAAUAAAGCAUCUGCUGUUUACCAGGCUCUUCAGAAGAGUAAUGGUGUACUUCCUGAAUUAUUUCAGUGUCAUGGUACUGCAGAUGAGUUAGUUCUUCAUUCUUGGGCAGAAGAGACAAACUCAAUGUUAAAAUCUCUAGGAGUGACCACGAAGUUUCAUAGUUUUCCAAAUGUUUACCAUGAGCUAAGCAAAACUGAGUUAGACAUAUUGAAGUUAUGGAUUCUUACAAAGCUGCCAGGAGAAAUGGAAAAACAAAAAUGAAUGAAUCAAGAGUGAUUUGUUAAUGUAAGUGUAAUGUCUUUGUGAAAAGAGAUUUUUACUGCCAAAUUAUAAUGAUAAUUAAAAUAUUAAGAAAUAACACUUUCCUGACUUUUUUAUUAUUAAAAUGCUUAUCACUGUAGACAGUAGCUAAUCUUAUUAAUGAAAAACAAUAGACAAACAUCUGUGCAUAAUUUUUCAGACACAAUUCUGUAAAUAUUUGGAAACCUUUUAAGUAUUUAAACUUUUAAAUUUUUGAAAUAAAGUAUUCUAAACUAAUAUAAAUAAGGACAAUGAAAAAACAUGAAAGGACUUAGCAUAGUGUUAUUUUAUCUUUUCUACAACUUUGUUUAAAUUACCUUUCCAAAGAUAUUUGUGUUUAUGUAAUUUUCCACGGAAUAACAUUAAUACUCUAGGUUUAUAAACCGGUUUCGCAUUAUUUCAUUUGAUCAUCACAAGAGCUUUGUGAAGUAAGCCGAGAAGUUGUUACUGGUAUUUAAUAAUAGCAAUAGAGGAGUUAAAGACUUUCCCACAGCUUGCAGGUCAAGACAAGAAAUUCAGGUCUCCUAAUUCUCAGUGGAGCUCUAUUUCUGUUAACCCAAAUUGCUGCUCUGUUUUAGGUCUCAAUUUCAUCUGUAAAAUGAUAUUAAUAGUACUUAUCCCAUUGGAUUUUUGUUGAGAUUUAAAUAAAUAGCCAAAAGCCAAUACAUAAUAAACACUCAAUAAAGAUUAACCAUAAGGAGAGUCAUGAUCUAGUUCCAGGAAUACAUUGUUAGAUGACUGAAAAAUUGUAUUACUUCAAUGAAAAUACUAUAAAUAAUAACAUUUUCAUAUAUUAGUUGGUUCUCAUGCAUACAUAAUCUAAUUUUAUUUGAUCCUCACAACUUUUUUAUUAAGUAUACAUUAUCCCUAUUUGUAUAAAUAGAAUCAUACAAUACCUGCCUGCUUUCAUUCAACAAAAUUAUCAUGAGAUUUUUCCAUGUUGUGUACAUCAAUAGUUCAUCUAUUUUAUUGCUCAGUAAUAUUCCAUUGUGUGGAUGUAUCACUAUUUGUUUACACAUUCACCACUGAUAUAUAAGUUGCUUCCAGUGUGAGGCUGUUAUAAAUAAAGCUGCUAUGAAUAUUCAUGUAAGA
rnacentral:sRNA from 1 species